rnacentral:rRNA from 1 species
CAGUCGCCGCGGUAAUACGUAGGGCGCAAGCGUUGUCCGGAAUUAUUGGGCGUAAAGAGCUCGUAGGCGGUCUGUCGCGUCUGGUGUGAAAUCCCGAGGCUCAACCUCGGGCUUGCAUCGGGUACGGGCAGACUAGAGUGCGGUAGGGGAGACUGGAAUUCCUGGUGUAGCGGUGGAAUGCGCAGAUAUCAGGAGGAACACCGAUGGCGAAGGCAGGUCUCUGGGCCGCAACUGACGCUGAGGAGCGAAAGCAUGGGGAGCGAACAGGAUUAGAUACCCGUGUAGUCCCUGUCUCUUAUAA